AUUUUAGUACGAAAGGAGUAAAUAAUUAAAAUAUUUUUAUAUA
rnacentral:rRNA from 1 species